UUUCUCCACUGCGAAGGCGUACCGAGUACGGCUCUCUCCGUCGCUGGACCGAAACUAGUAUAUUACUAGGCCAGUAAUAUACUGGCUUCUCUAGUAAGGGCACCGUAGGGUAUGGUUCAAAAAUAUACAAUUUAAUGUGAAGCGACUUGAAAAUUGUAUUUCUUUCUACUACCAGAUAUUUUAUUAAAAAUAUGGAAGUUGUUUACACCAAACUAAACCAAACCUCGUCAGGUAAAGGGACCAAAAACUAUCAAAUUCAUAUUUUUAUGCUUGUGCCGUUUUCAGUAGCCAUGGUGACUCUGCUAUUAAAAUACUGCGGGGUAGCUGCACCAUCAUUCUUUGCUAUACAGGGCGGCCAAACCUUACAUUCCCUAGGCGAAGAUUUCAACAUGUCAUCGAUGUUUUGGCUGAUAGGAUUUGGAGUACUGUCCAUAAUUCCAAUUUAUUUAAAAAAUCGAGUAUAGUGCUCCUGUUUCAACAAAUUCAACAGGAAAAUUGACGCUAAUGGACACGAUAUUCAAAUUCUCUAGUGAUAAUACAGAUUUUUUCUGUUUUUUAAUUUUGUUUCUCGUUCAAGUUUUGUUUAGUCUAAUUCUUUGAUUUUUUUUAAGUGCUUGUAUUAAAGUGUGAUAUAGAGGUAAUUGUGAGAUCAGCCAGUAUUGUACAGAAGGUUUUUGUUAAUAUCUGUGAGCUUUGAGAAGAACAAAAUCUAAUAUAGAAAUAAUACAUAGUGUUUUUUUUUCUUUUAAAAGUUUAGAAAUUGUAAAUGUUCCUAUGAAAUUUAAUAAAAGUUGUUUAAUGUUUA
rnacentral:misc_RNA from 1 species